rnacentral:rRNA from 1 species
GAUGAACGCUAGCUACAGGCUUAACACAUGCAAGUCGAGGGACCGGCGCACGGGUGAGUAACACGUAUCCAACCUGCCCUUUACUCGGGGAUAGCCUUUCGAAAGAAAGAUUAAUACCCGAUGUAAAGGAUGGGGAUGCGUUCCAUUAGGUUGUUGGUGAGGUAACGGCUCACCAAGCCUUCGAUGGAUAGGGGUUCUGAGAGGAAGGUCCACCACAGUGAAACUAUGAAACGGACCAAACUCCUACGGGAGGCAGCCGUGCGGGAUAUUGAUCAAUGGAAUAUAGCCUGAUCCAGCCAAGUGGCGUACAGGAUGUGGGCCAAUGGGUUGUAAACAUCUUUUAUAUGGGGAUUGGGACCAUAUGAAUAGAGACCGACUAAUUCCGUGCCAGCAGCCGCGGUAAUAC